rnacentral:rRNA from 1 species
UACCCCACUAUGCCUAGCCGUAAACUUUGAUUAUCCGCCAGAGUACUACGAGCCACAGCUUAAAACUCAAAGGACUUGGCGGUGCUUUAUACCCCCCUAGAGGAGCCUGUUCUAUAAUCGAUAAUCCCCGAUAAACCUCACCACCUAUUGCCAAUACAGCCUAUAUACCACCGUCCAGCCCGCCCUUCAAAGGAAGAAACAGCAGGCAUAAUAAUCAACAUUAAAACGUCAGGUCAAGGUGUAGCAGAUAAGAUGGAAAGAAAUGGGCUACAUUUUCUAAUUUAGAAAACACGGAUGAUUCCAUGAAAUAAUUUUUGAAGGAGGAUUUAGUAGUAAAAAGAAACAAGAGUGUUCUUUUUAAACCGGCAAUAAAGCGCGCACACACCGCC